rnacentral:rRNA from 1 species
UAGGGAAUUUUCGUCAAUGGGGGAGCCCUGAACGAGCAAUGCCGCGUGUGUGAAGAAGGUCUUCGGAUCGUAAAGCACUGUUGUAAGUGAAGAAUGCCAUAUAGAGGAAAUGCUAUGUGGGUGACGGUAGCUUACCAGAAAGCCACGGCUAACUACGUGCCAGCAGCCGCGGUAAUACGUAGGUGGCAAGCGUUAUCCGGAAUCAUUGGGCGUAAAGGGUGCGUAGGUGGCACGAUAAGUCUGAAGUAAAAGGCAACAGCUCAACUGUUGUAUGCUUUGGAAACUGUCGAGCUAGAGUGCAGAAGAGGGCGACGGAAUUCCAUGUGUAGCGAUAAAAUGCGUAGAUAUAUGGAGGAACACCAGUGGCGAAGGCGGUCGCCUGGUCUGUAACUGACACUGAUGCACGAAAGCGUGGGGGAGCAAAUAGGGAUUAGAUACC